AUAUCAGUCAUGCAUAGCAUAUCAAUAAGCGGAGGAAAAGAAACUAACAAGGAUUCCCUUAGUAACGGCGAGUGAAGCGGGAAGAGCUCAAAUUUGAAAUCUUCAAGGUUCUACCUUGACGAAUUGUAGUUUAUAGAAGUGUUUUCUGUUAGUAGAGUGGCAAAAGUUCUUUGGAAUAGGACAUCAUAGAGGGUGAGAAUCCCGUAUUUGGUCAUUCUUUCUAGCUUUGUGAUACACUUUCAACGAGUCGGAUUGUUUGGGAAUGCAGUCCAAAAUGGGUGGUAAAUUUCAUCUAAAGCUAAAUAUUGGCGAGAGACCGAUAGCGAACAAGUACCGUGAGGGAAAGAUGAAAAGAACUUUGAAAAGAGAGUUAAACAGUACGUGAAAUUGUCAAAAGGGAAGCGUUUGACACCAGUGUUGUUUUUCCGAAAAUCAAUUACGAAUGUUUUGUUUUUAAGAAGUUAUGACUUCAUCGGCUUGCUUCUUUCUUUACGAAACUUUCUUAAUGCACUUUUCGGUUAACAAGUCAACAUCAAUUUCUUUUGUUGUAAAAGGGUACGAGGAAGGUGGCUUUCUUUUCGGAGAAAGUGUUUAUAGCCUUGUGCCUCUGCAAUCGGAGAGAUUGAGGUCUGCAGCGUAGAUCCUUCGGGGUUAGAUACGUUUGUGCUAAGUUAUAGCUUUUCAUAGACAACUUGUUGACUAUGUUUAGUCUUGUAGCUUACUCGCUGACGCUAUUUUACCUACGCUUAGGAUGUUGAUCUCUCACAGUCGAGC
rnacentral:rRNA from 1 species